rnacentral:lncRNA from 1 species
UACAGAUUCAAUGCAAUCCCCAUCAAAAUACCAAUCCAGUUCUUCAAAGAGUUAGACAGAACAAUUUGCAAAUUCAUCUGGAAUAACAAAAAACCCAGGAUAGCUAAAGCUAUCCUCAACAAUAAAAGGACUUCAGGGGGAAUCACUAUCCCUGAACUCAAGCAGUAUUACAGAGCAAUAGUGAUAAAAACUGCAUGGUAUUGGUACAGAGACAGACAGAUAGAACAAUGGAAUAGAAUUGAAGACCCAGAAAUGAACCCACACACCUAUGGUCACUUGAUUUUUGACAAAGGAGCCAAACCCAUCCAAUGGAAAAAAGAUAGCAUUUUCAGCAAAUGGUGCUGGUUCAACUGGAGGGCAACAUGUAGAAGAAUGCAGAUCGAUCCAUGCUUAUCACCCUGUACAAAACUUAAGUCCAAGUGGAUCAAGGACCUCCACAUCAAACCAGACACACUCAAACUAAUAGAAGAAAAACUAGGGAAGCAUCUGGAACACAUGGGCACUGGAAAAAA